UGGGGAAUAUUGCGCAAUGGGCGAAAGCCUGACGCAGCAACGCCGCGUGAGUGAUGAAGGCCUUCGGGUCGUAAAGCUCUGUCAGAGGGAACGAAUGUUCUUGAGGUUAAUAGCCUCAGGAAGUGACGGUACCCUCAAAGGAAGCACCGGCUAACUCUGUGCCAGCAGCCGCGGUAAUACAGAGGGUGCAAGCGUUGUUCGGAAUUAUUGGGCGUAAAGGGCGUGUAGGCGGUCUGCUAAGUCAUGUGUGAAAUCCCUCGGCUUAACCGAGGAACGACGCAUGAAACUGGUAAGCUAGAGUACCAAAGAGGGGGGUGAAUUCCCGGUGUAGCGGUGAAAUGCGUAGAUAUCGGGAGAACACCGGUGGCGAAGGCGGCCCCUGGUCGGAUACUGACGCUGAGACGCGAAAGCGUGGGAGCAAACAGGAUUAGAUACCCUGGUAGUCCACGC
rnacentral:rRNA from 1 species